rnacentral:rRNA from 1 species
CAACUAGCGAUCCGCCGGUGGAUUUUUAGCCCUGGUGGGUAGCUUCCCGGAAACGAAAGUCUUCCGGUUCCGGGGGAAGUAUGGUUGCAAAGCUGAAACUUAAAGGAAUUGACGGAAGGGCACCACCAGGAGUGGAGCCUGCGGCUUAAUUUGACUCAACACGGGGAAACUCACCCGGCCCGGACACCGUAAGGAUUGACAGAUUGAUAGCUCUUUCAUGAUUCGGUGGUUGGUGGUGCAUGGCCGUUCUUAGUUCGUGGAUCGAUUUGUCUGGUUUAUUCCGAUAACGAGCGAGACUCUAGCCUACUAAAUAGUAACGAGAUUAUCAAUGUCUCAGUUGCUUCUUAGAGGGAUUUUCGGUGUUUAGCCGCACGAGAUUGAGCAAUAACAGGUCUGUGAUGCCCUUAGAUGUCCGGGGCUGCACGCGCGCUACACUGGCGAAAUCAGCGUGCUGUAUCCAUUCUCGAAAGGGAUUGGUAAACCCAUGAAAAUUUGCCGUGCUUGGGAUCGGAAAUUGCAAUUAUUUUCCGUGAACGAGGAAUUCCAAGUAAGUGCGAGUCAUCAACUCGCUCUGAUUACGUCCCUGCCCUU